UCCUUCAAGCCUGCCAACUUGCAGCACUCCCCGAAAUCCGACUGCAGGAUGAAAGUUGGCAACACUAACAUAGACGGAUCGACCGUCUUAUAGUCAGUCGUCAUUACGAACUCCUCGUCUCCAACAAUAACGUAAAAAUUUGGUUCCGGACGCAUGUUUCUCAAGGCUUUGGCUGAUUCUCUUGUUAGUCCCGCGUGCACCCACACUCUGACGUGAGAUCUGCCCAGCAGUUCGUAUAGGAUUCUAUCUACAUCUAAAAAUAACGUUCUGAAGUUGUUCCAUUGUCACCAAGUCAGCAUCUGAUAUAGUAGUCGUCGAGAAAGCUAUUGGAAGCUAAUAAGUAUAUCAAAAGGGAUUUAAAAAACGGGUAAAACUCUGGCAAGAGCUGGUUGCGAUACAAG